GUAAUUUCACCACUAUUCUAGAACUAUCAGGCCAUGGAUGGCUAAUGUUAAAAUGGUAAUUUCAGAAAUAUUGAAGAACCAAUUAGACAUGAGAAGGAUAGGAAGACCAAGGGCAAACUUGUAAAUAUAAUUAUUAUUCAAGGAUAAAAUAAUAAUAAUAUCAAAGGACUGAUUUUUACUUGUAAUUCCUUUCGGUUCUAGAUCGUUUCAUUAUCUCUUUCCUUCUGUCUCUUCCAGUUUAAAAGAGAGAAUGAGACUGUAUGAUUCUUCCACAUCAGGCAAAGAAGAGCACAAAAAUUGUAUUACAAUUGAUGAUUCUUUCACAUCGGUUAGUUCUUAAUCAUUUUUAUUUCGAAUUUUCUCUACUUAUUUCUUUAGGCUUUUAAAUUCUAAAUCGUGUCUCGCUUAAAAUUUUAGGGAAUUCUCUCAGUCCUAACAUGAAGCAAAGAACUUCAAUUAUGGAAAUCUUUGCUUUUUGGUAACAACUUCAUCAACCUACCACACCAGGAGAUUAAGAGCAUAAUGACUUAAUUGGUAUGAUCAUUCUUCUAAUUUUUAUUUUUGAGUUGUAGCAAGAUUUAAAAUUUAAUGGAGCAUGCGUAUGUGGUUUUUCUGUUGAAAGAUUUCUGAUGUCCACCAGGUGUUUGGAAAAAUGUCUUAGCUAGAAAAAAAUCUACUUUGUUCAGCCUACUCCUUUUAACUUUUGUAUAGACCUGUGAAUGUUUUUGCCAUUCUCCUCAACAGGAGGUGUGCUUAUGUGAUACAAAGAAACAAAUAAGUAAGACUUACAAUUGUGUGGUCUUAUUCUCCUCGGAAUCAACAGAUGCUUACAUCAGAAAAGGAACACUUAUAUCUUCUUAUUUUCUGCGGGUUUGAAUUACCUUACACUUUUCGUUUGUGUUUUUGAUUAAUAUAAUUUGUUGUUGUUUCAUGGUUGAUUACUCCAUCUGUUUCGUAGUAGGACCUUCACCUUACAAGUGCUCGAUAAAGACCUUCAACAACUUAAUUUUUUUGUUCUAUAAAUAUUUAAAAUUAUGGACUCAACUUUUCAAUACAAUAUUGAGAAACCCAAUCAACGUCAAUUCCACUUUUCUUACAAAACAACGAAAAAUCAUAGUUGUAGACUUGAGAUUUUGGCCAAUUGCUUACCCUUUGGUUAUUUAUCCAGAAAAUUAUACAUAUGUAGUGUAGUAAAUAUAUUUUCCUAUAGAACUUUUCCCUGCAUUAAAAUUAUGUCCUUUUUGCUUCUAAAAAUGACCCAGACAAAUUAUCUUUCCUACUAACCAUGGUAGACAAUCAUAACUCUGAUAUUUUAAGUUUCCAUGUGCCAUUUGUUGUGACCAAAAUGCGCAACUGGACAAGUUCUGCUUGCAAAUAUUUAGUUGUAACUUAGUUUAUUAAUUUCCUCCAAUAUCAGCUCUUCUUACAAUAUUAUUAUCAUGGAUGAACGUAGUAUUUCCAAAAUGGAAUAGAGGUAUACUAUCGACGCAAUUACGCCACUAACUACGAAGUGGACGUGCAAAAUAAUGUUUUUCCUUCUACGUUUUGUUGCUAUGCUAAAAAAAGAGAACUCUUAUUUUUAUAGGUGUGUGCACUUUCUGUUAUAUCUGUUACUAUAUGAAAAUGUAAAGUUGUGUUACUUCCAAAAUCAUAUUAAAUAAGGAAAGGAAAGUAAGAUAAGCCUUCGAAAAAGAACUUUUCAACUAAUCUUAACAAAAAUAAAAUAAAAUCGGAUACUCAUAGUCAAUGGAACUUUUAGAAUGUAUUGGCUGUUAAAAGUUCGAUACUCUUUCAUCUGUGAUAGUUCCAUGCCUUAGCCUCUUCAAAAAAAAAACAUUUCUCAUGCUUAUUAUCGGUUGAAUAUUUUUCAUAUUGAGAUUAUAUAUAUGUAGUACAUGGAGCAGCUACAAAAACUUAUAUUUUAUGACGAAAGUGUUUGCUUUGUAGCGUAUCCUCCUCCAAGAAUAUGAACUUGUAUAGCAUCAUCUCAUUAAUCACAUAUCCAAUUUGAUCUCCUUAGUGUGCCUCUUGCAACUGAAAAUAGUAAACUACCGCCAUAUUCAUAGGGAAUCAGUGUAGUCAAAUAUGUAGCAAAAGUAAACUCUUUCCAUGUAGUUUUUGACUUUUUUUUUUGUUCUUUUCUGGUGGAGAUCUUUGUCUGAUACUUAUUUUUACCUAAUUUAACAGGCUUAUAAAAUAAUAUCAUGUGGUUUUAUCUGCUUUCGCUUACGCCGUUGUCGAUUACGUUUCUCAUGUUUUCUGUUGGAUAUCUAUUAAGAUUGCGAGACUAUAUAUACAAGGACUAUCCUUAGUUGAUUAAUAUUCUUCACUUAAGUGGUCAGGCCCGUGCUAGAGAUUGAUUACUAGCCUAAGUUUAGAGUGCUUCCUCUGAAGAAGAGGACCAGAUUUUUACUGAGACAAUCUGAUUAAACGUUAGACUUCAAAUAAGAAAGCUUUAAAACUCUUAUAUGAAUCAUUUUGUAUGUAACAUUAGAAAAAAUGUUUCUACUUUAAGCUUUGACAUGAAAAUUCUUUGUUUGUUGAUUCUUGGUAGAGCGGUAAUGUAAACCCUUGAAAGUUAAACUUGUGAAAGAAACUGAUGGCUAAAGAUGGUAACAGAACUUCCAGUCACAAAGAUAAGCUCUCCUUUAUAGAAUGUAAAAGCUCCUAAAAUUUAUUUAAAUUUGGAAAGAUAUCUCCUACCAAAACUUAGCAUGCUAUUACUCAUUAAACUUUUUCGGAUUUAUAAAAAUAUCUUUUUAAACUUUGUUGUAACAUGCCUACUUGACUGUAGCUUCUCCCUUAAAUUAGCAAGUAGUUUUUUCUUUGUUUUGAAUUGUACUUGGUGUGAAUUAACCAGUAGCUACUGCUACUGAAGAUGAGAUGUUCCUACUUCUGUUCUUCAGAGUGAUGUUUGUUUGUCUUUCUACAUAGAUGUUGAGACGGAAUUAUGUUUCAAGGACCUUUUUUGUGGAAUCUGUAAUGUCCAAUUAAUUGAUCUAUUGCAUUCUGUUACAGAUAUAAGUCUAAAGAAGCAAUUGAGAUUUUAUAAGUGCAGGGCCCUCAAUUUUUUUAUUUUAAUAGUGGCUUGCCGACUAUUUGGCCUAUUAACCUUUUAACUAUUAAGUUGUGUCUAAUUUCAUUUUAGAGAUAGACCUAUUCUUCUUUACUUCAUCAAAAGAAGAGAUAUUAGUUACUUCGUGAAAGAUUUGAUCAUUCAUGAAUUGGCUUACUUAUAUUUUUCUUCAUUUUUUUAGGCAGUGGAACAGUUCUUUCAGCAUUACUCAGUCAAGAGGAGUCAUUUUGAAAUGGUGAAUAAGAUCAUGCAUGUAGUUUUGAGGCUGCAUGAGGAUACAACACAAGGGUGGCAAUAUUUUUGAAAGGUUUGAGGGCGGCAAGAUAAAUUUUAGAAUAACCAGUACCUUUGACAUCAAAAUUGAUGCUAAAUCACUUUUUGGUCCUUGAUUAACUCUUAUUCAUGUUAUGUUGAAUUUUCUACGAGGCGUUCAUGAUAAACUUCUAUUUUGGACAAGGGUCAAACCACACAGGUGUUCCAAUAAAGUCGCUUACCAUUAAUUGUUCUAUAACUAUGAACAUACAUAGAAAUGAAAAGAGAUGGAAGAAUUAUGAUUUAAAGGUACAGUUCUUUUGGUGCACUAUUUUUACUUGCAUGUAAAAAUUGAAAAGAGAUGUUAGGCUCAUGCUUAAAAAAUGCUCAACCAAAUUUUGUGAGUCCUAACUCCUAAAAGCUAACGCAUAAUGCCAUAAAAAUCUAUUUACUUUCUAAUAAUUAUUAAUUUUUCUUUAAAGAAUGGAGAGCAAGUCAGCAAACUCAGAAAACAUUGAGGAUAUGUAAAUGAAAAGUAUGC
rnacentral:lncRNA from 1 species